rnacentral:sRNA from 1 species
ACUCAGUGCUGGAAGUAGGAGGAGAGUCAGGACUCCCAGGACAGAGAGUGCACAAACUCUGGAGGCUGAAGAGGGAUUCCAGCCCCUGCCACCCACAGACACGGGCUGACUGGGGUGUCUGCCCCCCUUGGGGGGGGGCAGCACAGGGCCUCAGGCCUGGGUGCCACCUGGCACCUAGAAGAUGCCUGUGCCCUGGUUCUUGCUGUCCUUGGCACUGGGCCGAAGCCCAGUGGUCCUUUCUCUGGAGAGGCUUGUGGGGUCUCAGGACGCUACCCACUGCUCUCCGGGCCUCUCCUGCCACCUCUGGGGUGCCACCAAAUUCUGGGCUUGGAACAGCUUCAGCUCCCACCCGCUCCUCCACACACAGACAGUGACAUACUCUGCCUGCCUGGGGACAUCGUGCCUGCUCCGGGCCCCGUGCUGGCGCCUACGCACCUGCAGACAGAGCUGGUGCUGAGGUGCCAGAAGGAGACCGACUGUGACCUCUGUCUGCGUGUGGCUGUCCACUUGGCCGUGCAUGG